rnacentral:rRNA from 1 species
AUUGAACGCUGGCGGCAGGCCUAACACAUGCAAGUCGAACGAGUGGCGGACGGGUGAGUAAUGUCUGGGAAACUGCCUGAUGGAGGGGGAUAACUUCUGGAAACGGUUGCUAAUACCGCAUACCAUCAGAUGUGCCCAGAUGGGAUUAGCUAGUUGGUGGGGUAACGGCUCACCAAGGCGACGAUCCCUAGCUGGUCUGAGAGGAUGACCAGACACACUGGGACUGAGAAACGGGCCAGAAUCAUACGGGAGGCAGCAGUGGGGAAUAUUGGACAAUGGGAGCAAGCCUGAUGCAGCCAUGCCGCGUGUAUGAAGAAGGCGUUAGGGUUGUAAAGUACUUUCAGCGGGGAGGCGUUACCCGCAGAAGAAGCACCGGCUAACUCCGUGCCAGCAGCCGCGGUAAUUC